GUCCAAAGGUGUUGCGUUCAGUUCAGGGCAAGCUUCCCCUUGUUCUGUUAAAUUAAACUUUGGAACAUUGAAAUUGGCUGAGAGAAAUGAUUGAAUAGAGAGUAAUUACUCUAUUCGUGUAUACUUCUAGCCCUACACAA
rnacentral:snoRNA from 14 species